rnacentral:rRNA from 1 species
UACGUAGGGUGCAAGCGUUAAUCGGAAUUACUGGGCGUAAAGCGUGCGCAGGCGGUUGUGCAAGACAGAUGUGAAAUCCCCGGGCUCAACCUGGGGAAUUGCAUUUGUGAACUGCACGGCUAGAGUGUGUCAGAGGGGGUAGAAUUCCACGUGUGAGCAGUGAAAUGCGUAGAGAUGAUGGAGGAAUACCGAUGGCGAAGGCAGCCCCCUGGGAUAACACUGAGCGGCCUCAUGCACGAAAGCGUGGGGAGCAAACAGGAAUUGA